UGCAAGUCGAACGGUAAGGCCCUUCGGGGUACACGAGUGGCGAACGGGUGAGUAACACGUGGGUGAUCUGCCCUGCACUCUGGGAUAAGCCUGGGAAACUGGGUCUAAUACCGGAUAGGAGCUCCUGUCGCAUGGCGGGGGUUGGAAAGGUUUACUGGUGCAGGAUGGGCCCGCGGCCUAUCAGCUUGUUGGUGGGGUAAUGGCCUACCAAGGCGACGACGGGUAGCCGGCCUGAGAGGGCGACCGGCCACACUGGGACUGAGACACGGCCCAGACUCCUACGGGAGGCAGCAGUGGGGAAUAUUGCACAAUGGGCGAAAGCCUGAUGCAGCGACGCCGCGUGAGGGAUGACGGCCUUCGGGUUGUAAACCUCUUUCAGCAGGGACGAAGCGAGAGUGACGGUACCUGCAGAAGAAGCACCGGCCAACUACGUGCCAGCAGCCGCGGUAAUACGUAGGGUGCGAGCGUUGUCCGGAAUUACUGGGCGUAAAGAGCUCGUAGGCGGUUUGUCGCGUCGUCCGUGAAAACUUGGGGCUCAACCCCAAGCUUGCGGGCGAUACGGGCAGACUUGAGUACUGCAGGGGAGACUGGAAUUCCUGGUGUAGCGGUGAAAUGCGCAGAUAUCAGGAGGAACACCGGUGGCGAAGGCGGGUCUCUGGGCAGUAACUGACGCUGAGGAGCGAAAGCGUGGGUAGCGAACAGGAUUAGA
rnacentral:rRNA from 2 species